UAAAGCUCGUUUCUUUUAAUGUCUGUGGGCCUCGUUCUAACAUUGCGUGAAGUGGUUCCAGAACUUGGAACAUUCCUUGGACAUUUCGCUCUCCGAAGUAUAAUCUUGAAGCCUCCUCAAGACCUGGAAAAUGAGCAGGAAAGUUCAUGCCACAAAAUCGCCACUCUGAUAAGUUCUUCUGAAACCAUCAUGGCUUGUUGUACGAGAAUAUGUGAAUGUUCACACAUGUUUUUGAGAAUUUUGUUAGCUGCGGCUAAUCGAGCAGGACUUGAGGAUUUUGAUGCAACAGUCAAUGGAUAAAUGAGGGCUAGAGAGUAAAAUUGAGCUAGUAGGUGAUGGAUUAAUUUAGCAACGAGAUGUCGAGGUGUAUCAAUACGUGCAAUAAGUUGUGGUAUGACCUGAAAUUAAGUCAAGAUUUAUAUUAAAAUUGUAUUUAAUUAAAGCUCGCUAGAAUUAACUUACUUGCAACCAAGUAUCUACAUGGAUCCCUCUGAUUCCUUCAGCUAGAGCAUCGUGUACUUCAUGCCAAUGACCAAAAUCAAACCAUAGUGUCAAGAGACGUAAGGUGUCUUGGAGGCUAGAGCCCGUGGAACGACUUAGGGCAAUUGAACGAACAAAUCCUUGAACAGCAGGAAUUGUGUACUGACUGAUAUAUGAUGGAGUCUAAUAAAAACAUGGACCCACGAAUCAUGUCAAUUAAAUUAUA